GACGAACGCUGGCGGCGUGCUUAACACAUGCAAGUCGAGCGGUAAGGCCCUUUCGGGGGUACACGAGCGGCGAACGGGUGAGUAACACGUGGGUGACCUGCCCUCAGCUCUGGGAUAAGCCUGGGAAACCGGGUCUAAUACCGGAUAUGACUCCAUGACGCAUGUUGUGGGGUGGAAAGCCUUGUGCGGCUGAGGAUGGGCCCGCGGCCUAUCAGCUUGUUGGUGGGGUGAUGGCCUACCAAGGCGACGACGGGUAGCCGGCCUGAGAGGGCGACCGGCCACACUGGGUCUGAGACACGGCCCAGACUCCUACGGGAGGCAGCAGUGGGGAAUCUUGCGCAAUGGGCGAAAGCCUGACGCAGCGACGCCGCGUGAGGGAUGACGGCCU
rnacentral:rRNA from 1 species